CAGCCGCCACGGUAAUACGAAGGGGGCUAGCGUUGCUCGGAAUGACUGGGCGUAAAGGGCGCGUAGGCGGAUGACACAGUCAGAUGUGAAAUUCCCGGGCUUAACCUGGGGGCUGCAUUUGAUACGUGUUGUCUAGAGUGAGGAAGAGGGUUGUGGAAUUCCCAGUGUAGAGGUGAAAUUCGUAGAUAUUGGGAAGAACACCGGUGGCGAAGGCGGCAACCUGGUCCUUUACUGACGCUGAGGCGCGAAAGCGUGGGGAGCAAACAGGAUUAGAGACCCCGGUAGUCCCUGUCACUUAUAC
rnacentral:rRNA from 1 species